AAAAAAAAUACAAAUUACAAUAAUUAAAUUAAAAAACACCAUUAUUUACAUGUGGCCAUAACCAUAAAGUCACAAGUUAGUUAUGCAAUGUCAAUGCCAGUAAAAAGAUUGAAAGAGUAAAAAAAAAGAACUGUCAGUGGAUCGACAUGUGCACGACCUGUGAGAAAUUGCCACGUAAAUUAUUAAAUGUGAGCAGAUUUAUGAAAUUUGCUUGAGAAAUGAGUGCCAAAUAUUAAAACUAUAUUAGGAGCAAUCCGAUCCGCAGCACUACAAUCGUAAUACGUAACAGAAGAACAAAAAAGAAUACACUGAGUACCCACAUACAAACAAUAGCAAAAGAAA